GGGGUAUUUUAAAAGUAGUUAUUAAGUUUUUUUCUUUAAAGCUUUUGAAACUUAAUAACACUUUAAGUUAACCUUGUUAAGAUCAUUAAUUUUACCUUUCAAAGAUCCAAGAACAAUUAUUAAAACCUUUUUGAUCAGAUAACUAAUAAACUAACUAACUAGAUCAUUGAUGCAUAAUUAACUGCAUCAAUGAUUUUUUUUUAUUAUUUUUACUGCAAAAAAUGCAGAUUUAUCUGUUCAAACCAAUGAUUUUAAAAGGCUUUUUUUUAUUAUUAAUCAUUGGUUAUUUUUUACUUGUGAUUUUAGCUUUAAUGCUUAUAAAAAAAUCCAAUGAUAAAAGUUUUUUUAGAAAAGUGUUGUGCAAACUGAUUUAUUGUGCUAUAAUCUUUAAGGCUUAUAGAGCUACAUUGUUCUUUGAAAACUGAAUACGACAAAUCUUUCUAGUCCGAAAUUUGAUUAAAGUAUCAAAUCAAAUUUCAUAUAAUAUAGAUUCAAUAAAAAUAGCUAAUGGAUCAAAUACAUAAGUUACUAAGGGCUUAU
rnacentral:misc_RNA from 1 species